CGUUUGACACACGUGGGUCUCCGUUGAGACUCGUAGUGGACUAGCAUGAAGUGGGCAGCAAACAUGCAUGUUCGCCGCUCCAGGCUGAAGGAACAACGAGGCAUUGACACAACUUGUCUGCUUCCGCUCCACAAAUGUGACGGAGUCCCCUCCCGUGUGUGUUUUCGUGCACUAAAACGCUGCCAAAACGACCUAAUGUUGCUCCAAAAUGUCGAGGGUGAAAGAAAAACAUUCUUCGCCUCCUUCCCUGCGCCCUGGCUCUGCAGGAAGGCAGCGAAAGUCCAGGAAGCGACGCCGUUUGAGACGCGGCCCAGUGACCGAGGUUUGGGGCGUCGACUAAACUCUGCUCAGACCAAUGACAGUCUACGGUGAACAACUUUGUAAACAAGUCUCACACGCCGUGUUUAAAGCCCACUUUUUGUUUGUAACUGCUUCUACACUCACGACAUGCCAACAUGAAGCUGCGGGCCAGUGUGUCGACCGUCUCCAAACAGACCUCCAUCCAGAUGUGAAGUGAAGCUGCACCAUUAAUGAAAACAAGGGGAAUGCAGUGAUGGAAAAAAGGCAGCACCUAAAAAAAGCCCGACGCCAUUUGGUGGCCCUUCAUGACACCUCCUGUGUGUGUCUGUGUCUCUGUGUGUGUGUGUGGGGGGGGGGUCACACUGCCACACACUGGCACACCUGAGAUGACACGAUGGACAUCAUUAAAUGGACCAUUAAGAACUGAAGACAUCUCUACAGGUCUGGAUCCUUCAUGCUGUGGUGAGGCGUCCACACCGGCUGACCACAGGUGUCUGUAAGGCGGGGAUUUACAUUUUCUCAGGACAGGCAGCCCGUGGAGAGAGGCCUGCUGGCAGAUCAAAGGCUGCGGCUGUAAAACGAUCUGAAAGAGUCCAGCAUUAGCAUCCAUCAGGGUACCUUGAAAGCUCCCUGGUCAGCCGAGAGGGAAGCAGAGGGCCCCCCAAAGUGAAAGCCCAGUCUGGAGAGGGGUGAUGGAGGGGCAUGGGGAAGGG